CCUACGGGUGGCAGCAGUGAGGAAUAUUGGUCAAUGGGCUUACGCCUGAACCAGCCAAGUCGCGUGAGGGAAGACUGCCCUAUGGGUUGUAAACCUCUUUUGUCAGGGAGCAACGCCGGAUACGUGUAGCCGGACUGAGAGUACCUGAAGAAAAAGCAUCGGCAAACUCCGUGCCAGCAGCCGCGGUAAUACGGUGGAUGCGAGCGUUAUCUGGAUUUAUUGGGUUUAAAGGGUGCGUAGGCGGAAUGCCACGUCAGCGGUAAAAUCGCGGGGCUAAACCUCGCUCCGCCGUUGAAACUGGCGUUCUAGAGUGGGCGAGGAGUAUGCGGAAUGCGUGGUGUAGCAGUGAAAUGCAUAGAUAUCACGAAGAAC
rnacentral:rRNA from 1 species